rnacentral:misc_RNA from 1 species
CCUGGCUGCCCACUUACAGGAAAAACAACGAGGCGGUUGCAGCAGCACGGUAAAGCAAACACAGCGGUGACACAGACGCAUAUCCUCGCUCGCGAGAAAAGAACGAAGGCUAAAAGCAACGUGGCGUAUCUGGCGCCUCUCCGAGAUCGCCAUUCUAGUCCUUUGCCGCGGUAACCUUACUCGCCUUUCGCUUACGUGACACCCCAAGAACUCCACCCGCAGACGCGCACAUCUCUCUCUCUCUCUAGGCCUGCCUCACCAUGAGCUCCUCCGCCUCAACGACGCCGGCGAACUACGAGGGUGGCGGCGGCGGUGGCAUCCGCGACAUCGGCACCGUCACGUCCGGCAUGGCGAUCAUGAACUUUGACCAGAAGACAAAACCGUACACACGCAACGACCUCGUGCAGUUUCUGAUGCACUACCAGGAGAACCUCAACGAGGAGGAGCUGCGACUUGUGGAGAAGGGCAUUGUGGGCACCUUUGUUGGCAUGCCAGCGUUCUUCGGUGCUGGGUACUUCUUAAGCGGCCGGCUUGGCUGGCAUCGCGUGGUGCGUGUCAUGGCGCCGCUGAACGAGGGAGGACGGCCCAGUUGGUUCGUUAGCCACCUCCCAAAGAUCGGGCGAACUGCCUUUGGGUUGACGGCGGCCACCAUCCCCUACAUGGCAGUGCAACAGUGGUUUGUCUCGCGCGUGCUGGAGUUGGACGAGCGGGAGAGCAACUUAUCCUUUCACGUGCGGCGUCUGAUGCUGUCGCAGCGGUCUGGCAUAAUGUUUAAGCGCACCGCCACGCGUGAGGUGACAAAAGAAGAGCAGCAGCGUCUCCUCCGCGAGGCCGAGGCGCACGUGAAUGAGAAUCGCAGUGGCCAGCGUGUGAGCCAGGGCCUCGGCACCGGCCCCGUGGAUGUGAACCUGCAGCUGGGCCAGCAGGUGCUGACGCCAGUGGCGCAGACAGGCUACAAGCCGAUGCCUACACAGCCGCGGUAGUGCCUAGCUCGGCCUGCGCAUGGGCUCUUGGGGGGCAAAAGGACCACCUAGGGGCACCGUGUAGCUGCGACACGACGAGGCCCCCGCCUCCAUCUCUUUCACAUUCUGCAGGCGCUUGUGCUGCCGACCCGCCUUCCCUAUUCCAGGUGGUCGAUGUCGUGCCGAUCUUGCUCUUCCUUGUUUUGCUUUCUCUUGGUUUUGAUUUGGCCAUGUGUGUGGGUUGGUGCUCUGGCACGCGACACGUGUGUUUGUGUGUUUGUGGCGGUUCACGCGUGUAUCGUUGUGGCUCCUCGCACAGGGUUAGGGAUGCGCCUGUCCUGCCGUGUCGUUGGCGCUGACGAAGCUGAUGACACGUUGGUGCGUUUUUCUGUUUGCUUAUUGCGCGGCCGCCUCUUCUCUUGUGGCCCGCCUCUCCCAGACUCACACGAUGGAAGACGCCGCAAUAGCUGCGCGCUCUCUUCUCCCCGCAAUGCUGGGGAGCUGUCGCUGAGGAGGUCUUCGGGGUUUUUUCGACGACCUCGCUCGUGUUCGUGAUGACCUGUCUCCACUUUCUUCUCCUUCUCGGUGACAGAGAGCGAGCGAGUGCCCGCGCCCCCGCCACGCACACACAUAUGCGCAGGCGCUCUUUCUCGCUCUCUCGCCUUUCACGUGUACUGUGUUUCACAGCAACUUGUAACACGAAAAGACGAUUGCAGCAAC